UACGUAGGGAGCAAGCGUUGUCCGGAAUCAUUGGGCGUAAAGCGCGCGUAGGCGGCCCCGUAAGUCCGCUGUGAAAGUCGAAGGCUCAACCUUCGAAAGCCGGUGGAUACUGUGGGGCUAGAGUACGGAAGAGGCGAGUGGAAUUCCUGGUGUAGCGGUGGAAUGCGCAGAUAUCAGGAGGAACACCAAUAGCGAAGGCAGCUCGCUGGGACGUUACUGACGCUGAGGCGCGAAAGCGUGGGGAGCGAACAGG
rnacentral:rRNA from 2 species